rnacentral:rRNA from 1 species
GAUGAACGCUGGCGGCGUGCCUAAUACAUGCAAGUCGAGCGAACGGACGAGAAGCUUGCUUCUCUGAUGUUAGCGGCGGACGGGUGAGUAACACGUGGAUAACCUACCUAUAAGACUGGGAUAACUUCGGGAAACCGGAGCUAAUACCGGAUAAUAUUUUGAACCGCAUGGUUCAAAAGUGAAAGACGGUCUUGCUGUCACUUAUAGAUGGAUCCGCGCUGCAUUAGCUAGUUGGUAAGGUAACGGCUUACCAAGGCAACGAUGCAUAGCCGACCUGAGAGGGUGAUCGGCCACACUGGAACAGAGACACGGUCCAGACUCCUACGGGAGGCAGCAGUAGGGAAUCUUCCGCAAUGGGCGAAAGCCUGACAGAGCAACGCCGCGUGAGUGAUGAAGGUCUUCGGAUCGUAAAACUCUGUUAUUAGGGAAGAACAUAUGUGUAAGUAACUGUGCACAUCUUGACGGUACCUAAUCAGAAAGCCACGGCUAACUACGUG